UUCAAUUUUUGCUAGAGGCAUCUGGUUGUUUCAUUCCUGAAACCUGAUCAAUGUAUCACAAGAUUGUUAAUGCUCCCCCUCUCGACAUUCAGCCAAAUUCCCAUACAAGGAUUGGAGAAUGCUGUGAACUUCGGCAAGGACUGCACGGCCACACCAUGUCAAGGGGGGAGAUAAACCACAUGGAUCACAGUUUGAUCCACAGUGCUUGAGGUUCCGAUGGAGCCUUUCCAUUACCCAGUGAGCGCGUCUAUUGCCGGAAUGGAGCAGCAUCAGCCACUCGCCGAUUCGUGUGCGGGCCUGCGGGGGCGGAGGUGGGAGAUCAUAGGGAGGGUGCACCACAAGCUUCCGAACAAUCGGUAGGCGAGAUGGACCUGCUCCAGGAUGGAGCCGCAGGUAUGUUCGUACUCAUCGCUGGAGUUGUAAAAUUAAUGUUGCAAAUCUGAAAAAACUCUGUUCGUAUGUGUGUGCUUGUCAUUAAUAGACUAGAGAACAGGUGGGAUAUCAGAUGAGUCAUGCGUGUGAGGUUUUACAGAUCUAGUGCUUCGUACAUUAUUGAAUGAUUCGUUCAGCACCUCGUUUUUGCAACACAGACAUUCUCUCUUUCAGCCUGAUUACACCAUAAAUUGUGAACUGUAAGAAAGAAGGUCUCUCACGCAAAAUUGAUGGUGGAAUCUGAAGAAUCUGAGCUUGUAUGUGUGUGGUUGCUUGAAAGUACAAGACUACAGUAGAGGGAUUCACCAGAUGAUUGUGAACUGAAUGAUUUGUUUGGCACCUCACAUAUUGUUACACUAUAAAUUUUGAACUGUAGGAAAGAAUUUCUCUGUUGCAAAAUCCAUGUGUCCAAAUCUGAAGAUUCGGUGUUUAUAUGUGUGCGAUUGCUUGUAAUUUUGACACUACGGUCACUAUGUGUGUGGUUGCUUGUAAUUUUGACACUACAGUACUGGGUGAUUGAUCAGACGUUUUACAGAUUGACUGCUUGUCUAGAGUUGAAUGAUUCGAUUAGUAGCUCGCAUUGGUUAAAAAAAAAUAUAGAAGAUUAGAGCCCUCAUUUUGAUAGUUCAUGGAAAAUUUGGUUACAGCAGAAAAUGUGACAUGUAAGAUAGAAUCUCGCUGUUAAGAACUUAAGAUUCAUGUUGCACUGCAAUUUGUUUUGGAUUACAGUUAGUAAGCCUUAUGGAAGUUGUAAACAUUAAUGAACUUUUAUAAAGCACCUAUCCAUAAGGGAAUGGGAGAGAUUAAUUCCAGCAGUGUCACUGAAGGUGUGUUUGUUGUAGGUACCAGAAUGAGACAUGGUUCCUGUAUUUGCAAAGAAAAUGUUUCAUGUGCGUGGGAUUCCAUUUCAGAUCUAAAAUCACAAAGGAAAAUAGGGUUGCAGUCUUGCAGAAGUACUCGAAUGCCAAGGGAAACAAUAACAUAUAGAUUAGAUAAAUUAGUUGAUCAAAGACAGAAUGUUACAUUAGCUGUACUGUGUCGGUGCCGGAUGCAAGCUGAGUAUUUCCAAAGGUAUGAUCGAUGAAGAAGAACCGGCGAGUGAGUAGACAAGUGAGUGCGGAAUGCAAAUGGAGAAGGUGGAGACGAUUAGGGAAGGGUACUUGUUAGAAGGAAGGCAAGGCAGGAAUGACAGACAUAUAUGUUGCCGCAUCUAUUGCAUCUGCUGAACAGGUAGGAGCUCCUUACUCAGUGCAUGGGUAUGUCGACUUACGACCAUUCAAAACGUGCCUCAUGGGGUCUUGUCCUCCCUGGUCCGUGGACCAGGAAACAUGCUUUCCAUUUAUUGCAACCUAAACUGAGUAAAUUGCUGGUAUGGUGCCCGGUGGAGUUGUCUUCUUCCUCGGGUGCCUGGAUCUUUCCAUUGGCGAGAGUGGUGACCUUGGCAGUGGACCUCCUGCGCGAGCGAGCUGGAGUUCUUGAUACAGCCGAUUAAGAGAACAAUGGUGUUGGAGCCUGGAGAGGUUAAUGACCGCGAAAUUCCAAUGGAGCCGCUGCACUACCCGGUCGUCGAGCACCUGGCACCUAUGAGGGGGUUUAGUGCAGACGGAUAGAUCUGUGCGGAGGAGGGGGCGGCAGAUGCUCAAAUUGAAGAUUUACCUCAAGUAUCUGUGCAAUCUAUUGGCCAGAUCGACCCUAAAGCUCCUGGAUGGACGUAAAGGUAUGUCACUAUUCGGAAGUACACUCUUUGGAAAGUCAGCAUGCUACUCUUUGUACAAAUAGAUACAUGCUAGAAAUUCUCAGUGAACAAAAUCAUAUGUAGCUUUCUACAUUGCAAAUGUGUUUCAGCCUGAACAAAUUAUCGUAUUAGUAUAUAACAGGUGUAGAGCUACUUUGCAUUGAACAAAUUGUCGUCGUACUAAAAAGAUCAUGAAGAGAUUGCUGUUUGUGCCUUGACAGUGGGCUGCAUUGUAAACCCAGGAUGAUGUGUGCAUUGCCUGAUGUGUUACUAAUGAUCUGGUAAAAAAUUGAGCAGUUUUGACUCAGAAAGGAUGAUUCCCGGCGGCGAGAGACGCUGACCUUGCUCAUUGUCCAUGCAUUGAAUUUUAGGUUUAAUUUCUGCAGCGUGGGAAGCUGAAGCAUACCACCAAAAUCAAUUUCUGUAACCAGCCACUUCUUGAAUUGGUCCAACGGCUGAAUAACUUUGACAGCAUGCUUAACGGAGAUUCAGGGGCAGUGAUUCCUUCAUUGUUGAUCGGUACACCAUUAUCAGAAAAUGAUGGAUGUGGGUUGCGAUCGAUAACUGGGUCAGCAAAUCCAUCGCCAUCUCAACCCCGAGAGUCCAACAUGAUCACUGUGAAUCAUAACAAAAAGGAGAUCUCAGACUAAAUGUCUCUGCGCAUCGCUCCGAUAGUGAUUAGGAAUCAGUAUAAGUAAAAUUAGUUUGUGGUCUAAAGCCACGUAUUGUGCCAUUUGCUGGGUCACCUGCGGCAGUUUCAAAAUCUCUAGUAUAAUUACUGAAUGGUGUACUUCAGAAUUAGUUCUGACAUAUGCAUAUGCAUUGCCAAAAUUAGUUCGUACAGAAGAUCUGCCAAUUGGACGAA